GUUGCGGUAAUUAUACCGAAACUCGCGCUUCUUGGAAAUAGUCGCCACCGUUUUUCCAUCUUCCUCUAUAGCCCCCGAUUCACUGCCAAUUUGGGAAAUUUAAAGAAACAAAAAAUGAUAAAUGAAAAUAUGGCUUCGUGGUAAAGAGCACUUCACUGGCCAUGGAAAGUCGAUGUUGGGGUUCGAUUCCCACAAAGUGGAAAGAAAAAAGUUUGAGAAAAUUAUAGAAAAGAAAAUCUGAAAAGACUGAACAACAAAUUUUCAUCAAAUUAUAAAAUGUUAAUUUCAGAGACGAGCGUUUCUUAUGAAGAAUGGGUGUUUG